GAUGAACGCUGGCGGCGUGCCUAAUACAUGCCAGUCGAGCGAACAGACGAGGAGCUUGCUCCUCUGACGUUAGCGGCGGACGGGUGAGUAACACGUGGAUAACCUACCUAUAAGACUGGGAUAACUUCGGGAAACCGGAGCUAAUACCGGAUAAUAUAUUGAACCGCAUGGUUCAAUAGUGAAAGACGGUUUUGCUGUCACUUAUAGAUGGAUCCGCGCCGCAUUAGCUAGUUGGUAAGGUAACGGCUUACCAAGGCGACGAUGCGUAGCCGACCUGAGAGGGUGAUCGACCACACUGGAACUGAGACACGGUCCAGACUCCUACGGGAGGCAGCAGUAGGGAAUCUUCCGCAAUGGGCGAAAGCCUGACGGAGCAACGCCGCGUGAGUGAUGAAGGUCUUCGGAUCGUAAAACUCUGUUAUUAGGGAAGAACAAAUGUGUAAGUAACUAUGCACGUCUUGACGGUACCUAAUCAGAAAGCCACGGCUAACUACGUG
rnacentral:rRNA from 1 species